CUGGGGCGUGCUGUUCAUGUUUAUAAGGGUCAGCGUUAAGUUCAAAUAGCUGUUUCUCAGGAACCAAAAUGCCAAUUGAGCAGAAUUUGCUGUGCGCUUUCUGCUAAUCUGUAACUGAAUUACUUCAAAAAUGUCUGCCUUCUGCCAGUCGGCUUUCAGCAGAUUCUUACUGAGGUGCUGUUUUCCACAUGCAGUGCUUGGCUGUGUUGGAGGCCACCAAGAAAGACUUCCUGGCUGUCAUGUGGAAGCUAAGUGGGCUGGGGUCAAAAGGGUUUCUGGCCAUGGUGCUUGUGCUGCAGUGAUCUUGUUCUCUAUCACACUCCAACACAGGUAGCCAUCUUCACCCUCUCCCAAGAGGUGAUGGUACGACUCUGAAUAAACACUCUAUUAUUAUAAAUAAAGUGUGACUGUGUCUUGUAGUCCACCCACCAACCUUUUUCUGUUCAGUGGUUUGACUUGUGCUACACAGAGGUGAGUCCAGUUAUGCUGCAAGAAGUGUAAGUAUGAUGGGGUUGACGAGUGGGAGGAGAGGUUCUUCCUGUGCAAGGUGCUGCUCUCUCUUCUUUCAGCAUAGCUCCUGGUCUCAGAACAGGUUUAGUUCAUCGUUGCUGGUGUUGUGUAGAGGAUGUUAUAUUGUGAAAGUCACAACUAUCCCCGCUCAAGGUCUUGUGAAAUAUUUGACCUUAUUUGUGACUAUAUUCACCAUGAUACUUUCAGCGGUUACUACAUUAGUGUCCUUAAUUUUUUUUACUAUUUAAAGAUUGUUUAAAAGUUUAUUACAGGCUCAAUGAAUGUUCUUCUCCUUCACUAGAAGAUAAAGGCCCGGUUUCACAGACAGGGUUUACAUUAAGCCAGGAUUAGAUCUUCAAUCAAUUAGGACAUUUCAGUAGCUUUUAUAAACGUUUCUUUAGAAAAAAAUAUUUCUGGUGCACAUCCUGAGAUAAAACAAUGGCACUGACGUGUUUUAAGAUCCGUCCGUGCAAGUAGCUUUCAGUUAAAACAGCUCAAAGAUACAUUUUAGUCUGGGACUAGGCUUAGGCCUUGUCUGUGAAACCAGGGGAAAAGAAGAAGGGUGUGCUUUAUUAUGCUCUCUGCAGAAUAUGACAGAAGAAAUGUGACCCACACCUUUAACUAUAAAAAGCAGGUAGAACUGCAGUUAGCAUGAAACC